rnacentral:rRNA from 1 species
UACGGGGGGGGCAAGCGUUGUUCGGAAUUACUGGGCGUAAAGGGCUCGUAGGCGGCCAACUAAGUCGGACGUGAAAUCCCCAGGCUCAACCUGGGAACUGCGUCCGAUACUGGAUGGCUUGAAUUCGGGAGAGGGAUGCAGAAUUCCAGGUGUAGCGGUGAAAUGCGUAGAUAUCUGGAGGAAUACCGGUGGCGAAGGCGGCAUCCUGGACCGACAUUGACGCUCAUGCACGAAAGCGUGGGGAGCAAACAGG